UUUACAUUUGAGUGAGUGGCGAACUGGUGAGUAACACGUGGGAAACCUGCCCAGAAGCGGGGGAUAACACCUGGAAACAGAUGCUAAUACCGCAUAACAACUUGGACCGCAUGGUCCAGUUUGAAAGAUGGCUUCGGCUAUCACUUUUGGAUGGUCCCGCGGCGUAUUAGCUAGAUGGUGGGUAACGGCUCACCAUGGCAAUGAUACGUAGCCGACCUGAGAGGGUAACGGCCACAUUGGGACUGAGACACGGCCCAAACUCCUACGGGAGGCAGCAGUAGGGAAUCUUCCACAAUGGACGAAAGUCUGAUGGAGCAACGCCGCGUGAGUGAAGAAGGGUUUCGGCUCGUAAAACUCUGUUGUUAAAGAAGAACAUAUC
rnacentral:rRNA from 1 species